rnacentral:tRNA from 1 species
GGUUCGUUGGUGUAACGGCUAACAUGCCUGAUUGUCUGUCAGGCCCUGCGGGUUCGACUCCCGCACGAACCG